AUAACAAGGCGCCGAUGACAAAUCUCCGUGUGAGAGAGUCCCGUUUAAACUGGACUAGUCGGUAUCCUGGCC
rnacentral:sRNA from 12 species